rnacentral:rRNA from 1 species
GAUGAACGCUGGCGGCGUGCCUAAUACAUGCAAGUCGAACGCUGAAGGAAGGAGCUUGCUCUUUCCGGAUGAGUUGCGAACGGGUGAGUAACGCGUAGGUAACCUGCCUGGUAGCGGGGGAUAACUAUUGGAAACGAUAGCUAAUACCGCAUAACAGUAGAUGUUGCAUGAUAUCUACUUAAAAGGUGCAAUUGCACCACUACCAGAUGGACCUGCGUUGUAUUAGCUAGUUGGUGAGGUAACGGCUCAUCAAGGCGACGAUACAUAGCCGACCUGAGAGGGUGGUCGGCCAGACUGGGACUGAGACACGGCCCAGAGGCCUACGGGAGGCAGCAGUAGGGAAUCUUCGGCAAUGGACGGAAGUCUGACCGAGCAACGCCGCGUGAGUGAAGAAGGUUUUCGGAUCGUAAAGCUCUGUUGUAAGAGAAGAACGAGUGUGAGAGUGGAAAGUUCACACUGUGACGGUAUCCUACCAGAAAGGGACGGCUAACUACGUG